AAAAACCGAAGAUCUUUUCAAGCGAAGGAGAACAUCAUCAACAUUUUUGGUCUCCAUAAAAAAUAACAGGGCCAGCCACCGUCGCCCGCAUAACAUCUUCAGAGGCCUCCAUAAUGGGUGUGUCUAACAAGCAAGAGUCAUCAUAAAGUCCGGUAUGCUCUCCUGUUUCUCUAUAGCUGGAAUUAGAGCGGUGGUGAAGGUGUGGUGCACAGGGGGAGUGAUGCUGGAGGAAUCAUUUCUGGUCUGUGGUUCUAUUGGAGUAGAUUCCUGUGGAGAGGAGUGUGUAACAGGAAUGGGCGGUAGAAGAAGUGGAAGAGAAUGAACUGCCAUGGGAGGAGUUUCAGGAGUUUUGUCAGCAUCUGUGGUCAUUUUUUCCUCAAAAGGAAUGAAGGGGCAAGAAUCAGUGUAAUGACCCAGUCGUCCACAAGAAUAACAAUAGUGAGAUAAAUCCAACUCAACUCGAGCACGGCAAGCUUUCAGUGCGGAACCAGUGGCGAACUCGAUUUAACUUGCAAAACAGAGCCAACCGUACUAAUGUACGUGCGGAUCAUAUCGUC